rnacentral:lncRNA from 13 species
CAAGCAUACCCAUACUAUGAUGCAGCCACCACCAUGCUUGAAAAUAAGGAUGCAGUUACCUGCAUUUAGGCCAAAAGGUAUAUUCCUUUGCCAUGUUUUGUUUUUGUACUACUUUUGUCAUGUACUGUCAUGUUGUCUUGUCUCUGUCCUUUCCCUUCACCCUGUCUCCCUCUGCUGGUCGUUGUUAGGUUACCUUUUCUCCCCCGCUUUCCCCCAGCUGUCCCUUGUCUCCUCUAACUACCCAUUCACCCCGUUCCCCACCUGUUCCCUUUUUUCCCUCUGAUUAGGUCCCAAUAUCUCUCUCUGUUUCUGCUCCUGUCCUUGUCGGAUUCUUGUUUGUUUGUGUCAUUCAUGCCUGAACCAGACUGUCGUCAUGUUUGCUGUAACCUUGUCCUGUCCUGUCGGAAUCUGCCGGUCCAUCUGAGCCUACCUAUGUUUGGUAAUUAAAGAAGCUCUGUUUAAGUUGAUUCGCUUUUGGGUCCUCAUUCACGCACCGUAACAACUUUAUUACUUUAGUGCCUUGUUGCGUACAAGUUGCAUGUUUUUGGAAUAUUUUGUAUAUGUGUUCUUUUCACUCUGUCAUUUUGGUCAUUAUUAUGGAGUCACUACAAUGUUGAACCAUCCUCAGUUUUCUCCCACACCACGGCCAUUGAACUCUGUAGCGGUUUUAAAAUCACCAAUGGCCUCAUGUUAACGUUCCUGAGCAGUUUCAUUGCUCCCCUGCAACUCAGUUCAGAAGGAUGACUUUAUCUUUGUGGUGUCUGGUGGUUUAAUUAAUCAUGCACAGUAUAAUUUUAAUUAGACCAUGCUUAAAGAGAUAUUCAGUGUCUGAUUUGUUAUUGUUACCCAUCUACCAAUCACUGCCCUUUUUUAUUAGGCUUUUGAAAAGCCUCCCUGGUCUUUGUAGUUGAAUCUGUGCUUGAAAUGCAAUGCUAAACUCAGGGACCUUACAGAUGUUGUAUGCAUGGGGGGCAGAGGAAGGUUUAAUAGUAAUAAUAUAAAAAUAUUAAUGUCAACCUCUAUUCUUUUACACAGUACAUUUAA